rnacentral:rRNA from 1 species
GAUGAACGCUAGCGGCAGGCCUAAUACAUGCAAGUCGAGGGAGAAUGUUGGAUUCGUCUGACAUGAAACCGGCGCACGGGUGCGUAACACGUAUGCAACCUACCUUUAACUGGGGUAUAGCUCAGAGAAAUCUGAAUUAAUCCCCCAUAAGACUACGACAUGGCAUCAUGAUGUAGUUAAAGCUCCGGCGGUUAAGGAUGGGCAUGCGGUACAUUAGCUAGUUGGUGGGGUAAUGGCUCAACAGGGCUACGAUGUAUAGGGGGUCUGAGAGGAUGAUCCCCCACACUGGUACUGAGACACGGACCAGACUCCUACGGGAGGCAGCAGUAGGGAAUAUUGGUCAAUGGACGCGAGUCUGAACCAGCCAUGCCGCGUGAAGGAUGAAGGCCCUAUGGGUCGUAAACUUCUUUUAUUAGGGAAGAAAAAACGGGAUGCGUCCUGUACUGACGGUACUUAAUGAAUAAGGAUCGGCUAACUUCGUGCCAGCAGCCGCCGUAA